UACGAAGGGGGCUAGCGUUGCUCGGAAUCACUGGGCGUAAAGGGUGCGUAGGCGGGUCUUUAAGUCAGGGGUGAAAUCCUGGAGCUCAACUCCAGAACUGCCUUUGAUACUGAGGAUCUUGAGUCCGGGAGAAGUGAGUGGAACUGCGAGUGUAGAGGUGAAAUUCGUAGAUAUUCGCAAGAACACCAGUGGCGAAGGCGGCUCACUGGCCCGGUACUGACGCUGAGGCACGAAAGCGUGGGGAGCAAACAGG
rnacentral:rRNA from 1 species